GACGAACGCUGGCGGCGUGCUUAACACAUGCAAGUCGAACGGAAAGGCCCUGCUUUUGUGGGGUGCUCGAGUGGCGAACGGGUGAGUAACACGUGAGUAACCUACCCUUGACUUUGGGAUAACUUCAGGAAACUGGGGCUAAUACCGGAUAGGAGCUCCUGCUGCAUGGUGGGGGUUGGAAAGUUUCGGUGGUUGGGGAUGGACUCGCGGCUUAUCAGCUUGUUGGUGGGGUAGUGGCUUACCAAGGCUUUGACGGGUAGCCGGCCUGAGAGGGUGACCGGCCACAUUGGGACUGAGAUACGGCCCAGACUCCUACGGGAGGCAGCAGUGGGGAAUAUUGCACAAUGGGCGGAAGCCUGAUGCAGCAACGCCGCGUGCGGGAUGACGGCCUUCGGGUUGUAAACCGCUUUCGCCUGUGACGAAGCGUGAGUGACGGUAAUGGGUAAAGAAGCACCGGCUAACUACGUG
rnacentral:rRNA from 1 species